rnacentral:rRNA from 1 species
GUCCACGCCGUAAACGAUGUCUACUAGCCGUUGGGUUCCUUGAGGACUUAGUGGCGCAGCUAACGCAAUAAGUAGACCGCCUGGGGGAGUACGGUCGCAAGAUUAAAACUCAAAUGAAUUGACUGGGGCCCGCACAAGCGGUGGAGCAUGUGGUUUAAUUCGACGCAACGCGAAGAACCUUACCAGGUCUUGACAUCCAGAGAACUUUCCAGAGAUGGAUUGGUGCCUUCGGGAGCUCUGAGACAGGUGCUGCAUGGCUGUCGU